rnacentral:rRNA from 1 species
ACAUGCCUACAACAUAGAAUUAAUGCACCAGAUCCCAUUAGAACUCUGCAUUUAAGCGUGAUUAGGCUAGAUUAGUACUGGGAUGGGUGACCAUCCAAGAAGUCCUAGUGUUUUACAUGCC